GCUCAGGAUAAACGCUUGCGGUGUGCCUUAUGCAUGCAAGUCGAACGGUCCUUCUCUUCGGAGAAGGAUAGUGGCGAACGGGUGAGUAACGCGUAAGUAACCUGCCCUCAAGUAGGGGAUAACCCUGAGAAAUUAGAGCUAAUACCGUAUAUGGUGGUAGGGGUAAUGCUCUAUCACUAAAGCCUUAGGGCGCUUGGGGAGGGGCUUGCGUCCGAUUAGCUAGUUGGUAGGGUAACGGCUUACCAAGGCGAUGAUCGGUAGCUGGUUUGAGAGGACGGCCAGCCACAUUGGGACUGAGACACGGCCCAGACUCCUAUGGGAGGCAGCAGCAAGGAAUAUUGUGCAAUGGGCGAAAGCCUGACACAGCGACACCGCGUGGGGGAUGAAGGCCUUCGGGUCGUAAACCCCUUUUCUCAGGGAAGAAUAAUGACGGUACCUGAGGAAUAAGUCUCGGCUAACUACGUGCCAGCAGCCGCGGUAAUACGUAGGAGGCGAGCGUUAUCCGGAUUUACUGGGCGUAAAGAGGGCGUAGGCGGCUUUUCAAGUCGGAUAUAAAAUCUCCUGGCUUAACUGGGAGGGGCUAUUCGAUACUGUUAGGCUAGAGGGCAGCAGGGGGAGGUGGAAUUCCCGGUGUAGUGGUGAAAUGCGUAGAUAUCGGGAGGAACACCAGUGGCGAAGGCGGCCUCCUAGGCUGUUUCUGACGCUGAGGCCCGAAAGCGCGGGGAGCGAACAGGAUUAGAUACUCUGGUAGUCCACGCUGUAAACGAUGGACACUAGGUAUGGGGGGUAUCGACCCUCUCCGUGCCGAAGCUAACGCGUUAAGUGUCCCGCCGGGGGG
rnacentral:rRNA from 1 species